GAUGAACGCUGGCGGCGUGCCUAAUACAUGCAAGUCGAGCGAACAGACGAGGAGCUUGCUCCUCUGACGUUAGCGGUGGACGGGUGAGUAACACGUGGAUAACCUACCUAUAAGACUGGGAUAACUUCGGGAAACCGGAGCUAAUACCGGAUAACAUGUUGAACCGCAUGGUUCAACAGUGAAAGACGGUCUUGCUGUCACUUAUAGAUGGAUCCGCGCCGCAUUAGCUAGUUGGUAAGGUAACGGCUUACCAAGGCAACGAUGCGUAGCCGACCUGAGAGGGUGAUCGGCCAGACUGGAACUGAGACACGGGCCAGACUCCUACGGGAGGCAGCAGUAGGGAAUCUUCCGCAAUGGGCGAAAGCCUGACGGAGCAACGCCGCGUGAGUGAAGAAGGUCUUCGGAUCGUAAAACUCUGUUAUUAGGGAAGAACAAAUGUGUAAGUAACUAUGCACGUCUUGACGGUACCUAAUCAGAAAGCCACGGCUAACUACGUGCCAGCAGCCGCAGUAA
rnacentral:rRNA from 1 species